rnacentral:rRNA from 1 species
GACGAACGCUGGCGGCGUGCUUAACACAUGCAAGUCGAACGGAACUACUUUGAGUAGCAAUACCUGAAGUAGUUUAGUGGCGAACGGGUGCGUAACACGUGGGCAAUCUGCCUUAAAGUGGGGGAUAGCUCGGCGAAAGCCGGAUUAAUACCGCAUGUGAUGAGAGACGACAUCGUUUCAAAAUCAAAAGUGGCGCAAGCUACUGCUUUUUGAGGAGCCCGCGGCCUAUCAGCUUGUUGGUGAGGUAAUGGCUCACCAAGGCUUUGACGGGUAGCUGGUCUGAGAGGACGACCAGUCACACUGGAACUGAGACACGGUCCAGACACCUACGGGUGGCAGCAGUCGAGAAUUUUUCUCAAUGGGGCAACCCUGAAGGAGCGACGCCGCGUGGAGGAUGAAGGC